rnacentral:rRNA from 1 species
UUGCCUACGGGGGGCAGCAGUGGGGAAUAUUGGACAAUGGGGGCAACCCUGAUCCAGCAAUGCCGCGUGUGUGAAGAAGGCCUGCGGGUUGUAAAGCACUUUUGUUGAGGAAGAAUGUGUUUGGGCUAAUAGUCCAAAUGCUUGACGUUACUCAAAGAAAAAGCACCGGCUAACUCCGUGCCAGCAGCCGCGGUAAUACGGAGGGUGCAAGCGUUAAUCGGAAUUACUGGGCGUAAAGCGUGCGUAGGCGGAUGCUUAAGUCUGAUGGGAAAUCCCCGGGCUUAACCUGGGAACUGCAUUGGAUACUGGGCGUCUAGAGUAUGGUAGAGGGUGGCGGAAUUUCUGGUGUAGCGGUGAAAUGCGUAGAUAUCAGAAAGAACACCAAUGGCGAAGGCAGCCACCUGGGCCAAUACUGACGCUGAGGUACGAAAGCGUGGGGAGCAAACAGGAUUAGAUACCCAAGUAGUCCAA